rnacentral:rRNA from 1 species
AGUGAACGCUGGCGGUAGGCCUAACACAUGCAAGUCGAACGGCAGCACAGUAAGAGCUUGCUCUUACGGGUGGCGAGUGGCGGACGGGUGAGGAAUACAUCGGAAUCUACUUUUUCGUGGGGGAUAACGUAGGGAAACUUACGCUAAUACCGCAUACGACCUACGGGUGAAAGCAGGGGAUCUUCGGACCUUGCGCGAUUGAAUGAGCCGAUGUCGGAUUAGCUAGUUGGCGGGGUAAAGGCCCACCAAGGCGACGAUCCGUAGCUGGUCUGAGAGGAUGAGCAGCCGCACUGGAACUUGAGCACGGUCCAGGCUCCUACGGGGGGGAGCAAGGGGGAAUAUUUGACAAUGGGCGCAAGCCUGAUCCAGCCAUACCGCGUGGGUGAAGAAGGCCUUCGGGUUGUAAAGCCCUUUUGUUGGGAAAGAAAAGCAGCAGGUUAAUACCCCGCUGUUCUGACGGUACCCAAAGAAUAAGCACCGGCUAACUUCGUG